GACAGAGGUGCCAAGCGUUAGGCGGAAUCACUGGGCUUAAAGGGUGCGUAGGCGGCGCGGAAAGUUGGGUGUGAAAUCCCUCGGCUCAACCGAGGAACUGCGCCCAAAACUACCGUGCUCGAGGAAGAUAGAGGUGAGCGGAACUUAGGGUGGAGCGGUGAAAUGCGUUGAUAUCCUAAGGAACACCGGUGGCGAAAGCGGCUCACUGGGAUCUUUUCUGACGCUGAGGCACGAAAGCUAGGGUAGCGAACGGG
rnacentral:rRNA from 1 species